rnacentral:rRNA from 1 species
GAUGAACGCUGGCGGCGUGCCUAAUACAUGCAAGUCGAGCGAACGGACGAGAAGCUUGCUUCUCUGAUGUUAGCGGCGGACGGGUGAGUAACACGUGGAUAACCUACCUAUAAGACUGGGAUAACUUCGGGAAACCGUAGCUAAUACCGGAUAAUAUUUUGAACCGCAUGGUUCAAAAGUGAAAGACGGUCUUGCUGUCACUUAUAGAUGGAUCCGCGCUGCAUUAGCUAGUUGGUAAGGUAACGGCUUACCAAGGCAACGAUGCAUAGCCGACCUGAGAGGGUGAUCGGCCACACUGGAACUGAGACACGGUCCAGACUCCUACGGGAGGCAGCAGUAGGGAAUCUUCCGCAAUGGGCGAAAGCCUGACGGAGCAACGCCGCGUGAGUGAUGAAGGUCUUCGGAUCGUAAGACUCUGUUAUUAGGGAAGAACAUAUGUGUAAGUAACUGUGCACAUCUUGACGGUACCUAAUCAGAAAGCCACGGCUAACUACGUGCCAGCAGCCGCGGUAAUACGUAGGUGGCAAGCGUUAUCCGGAAUUAUUGGGCGUAAAGCGCGCGUAGGCGGUUUUUUAAGUCUGAUGUGAAAGCCCACGGCUCAACCGUGGAGGGUCAUUGGAAACUGGAAAACUUGAGUGCAGAAGAGGAAAGUGGAAUUCCAUGUGUAGCGGUGAAAUGCGCAGAGAUAUGGAGGAACACCAGUGGCGAAGGCGACUUUCUGGUCUGUAACUGACGCUGAUGUGCGAAAGCGUGGGGAUCAAACAGGAUUAGAUACCCUGGUAGUCCACGCCGUAAACGAUGAGUGCUAAGUGUUAGGGGGUUUCCGCCCCUUAGUGCUGCAGCUAACGCAUUAAGCACUCCGCCUGGGGAGUACGACCGCAAGGUUGAAACUCAAAGGAAUUGACGGGGACCCGCACAAGCGGUGGAGCAUGUGGUUUAAUUCGAAGCAACGCGAAGAACCUUACCAAAUCUUGACAUCCUUUGACAACUCUAGAGAUAGAGCCUUCCCCUUCGGGGGACAAAGUGACAGGUGGUGCAUGGUUGUCGUCAGCUCGUGUCGUGAGAUGUUGGGUUAAGUCCCGCAACGAGCGCAACCCUUAAGCUUAGUUGCCAUCAUUAAGUUGGGCACUCUAAGUUGACUGCCGGUGACAAACCGGAGGAAGGUGGGGAUGACGUCAAAUCAUCAUGCCCCUUAUGAUUUGGGCUACACACGUGCUACAAUGGACAAUACAAAGGGCAGCGAAACCGCGAGGUCAAGCAAAUCCCAUAAAGUUGUUCUCAGUUCGGAUUGUAGUCUGCAACUCGACUACAUGAAGCUGGAAUCGCUAGUAAUCGUAGAUCAGCAUGCUACGGUGAAUACGUUCCCGGGUCU